CCGGUGACCACAUUUUAUGACACAACAGUUUUCAGCCUGUGAAAAUAGUCUCUCGGGAAGAGAUGUGGAACUGUAAGAGGUUAUAGUGUCCUAUCUGACAACUUGCAUGUUUGCAUUAACCCUUUACAUUCAUACAUCAUUGUCUCCUGCUCUGUUGCUCAUAAUCCCCAAGACUCUUGAGAAGUGAGCAGGACUGAAAGGUGCAUCGCAUGGAGUGUAAGUAAAGAGCUUAUUGAGAGUGAGAAUGCAGUUGAUUUGGUUUUUUUUUAUGGUACUGGGAAUUGAACCCAGGAUCAAUGGGCUGCCUCUCCAGUCCUUUUAUUUUUUAUUUUGAGACAAAGUCUCACUAAGUUGCCCACACAAGACUCAAACUGGUGAUCAUCCUGCCUCAGCCUCCUUCAGAACUGGGUGUUUUAAAUUUUGUUUUGUUUUUUCAAUCCUACUCCAUUUCUCUUGCUAGGAAAUGACAUUAUUUUAUUAUAAUUUCUCAUUUUUCCUACAGGAGCCAGCCCCACUGAUUUCAGAGGGCCAUCUAGGGAAAGGUGAAAGAAAUAUGCAUGUUAUCCUAUACACAGAGGGCCUUCCUCUGUCUAAAAGUAAUGCUUGUCCUAGCAAGGCCUUAGUCUGUAUGUGUUCCCAUGUGUGUGAGCUGUUCAGGGAUUACACAUACAUUUUAAAAUAUAUCUAUCAAAAAACCAAUCCAUUGAUCAAUCAAUCAUGUGCCUAAAUUUAUUUUGAAGGUAAGAAAAUGCAUAGUCAUACAUUAAUACCUGUUACUUGGAUUCUUAUAAAUUAGCAAUGUUUUUAAGGAUUCAGGGAGGGGUUUUUGACAGAAACAAAAAUCACUGACUUAAUAUUUGCUUAUAGAUCCAACAAUUUUUAUGAGCUUCUACACACUUGGUAGAUAAUGUACAAGGUAUCAAGAUUGUAAUAUGUAGUCUCUAUUCUCAUAGCUGCUUCUAAUCAAGAAUAAUAUAUUCAAUAUUUCUGUUAGGAGUAAAUUACUAUAUAAGAAUUUCCAUUCAAGCAUAAAAUCAUGUGUCAGAUGGCUAUUACAUCCUACGAGUGCCCCAAGAAGGGGAAAAUAGUGUGUUCUAGAAAGGCAUCUCUGUGAAGGAGCAGAGAAUUGGCUACACCUCGAACGAUGAGGAACAUUUAAACAGGUACAACAGUGGUAGGAGUGAGGUGAUGAACCUGGUUUUAUGUUGUUACUAGAGAAGCUGGACCUGAAUUAAAGUUGAGCAUGUAUUAUCUCAGAUACUUCUGAACCUGGGAGAUGAAGGUGGUUUACCCUGCUACUCUGCUACGUGGUCUGCUUAAGAUGCACUGCCUCGCCACAGGCCAAACCAAAGGGGCCAAUGAAAAUGGGCUGGAACCUCCAAAAGUUAACUGGUUGAAAACUUCCAUGUGCAGAAGUCCAAGAAAUCCCAACCUCCAGCCAGCAACCAAUGCAAGACUACUAUCCUGAUGUACUGUCACACUGGAGUCAUUUAAAGUCAGUUUUUCUAUGGCACUCUUCAGGUUAUUAUAUUCAGACUGAUCUAUAGGAUACAUUCCUGCAAAUACCAUUGGUUUCACUGAUUUAAAUACAGGCAAGGGCUCCACUGGAUGAUUAUGUAAAUACAACGUAUCUCCUAUUUGUGCUUCAGUGACAUCUUUCAUCCCAGCAAUCAAAUAGCCCACCUGUCCUGCAUAUAAUUUAAGAGUUGGCUGCUCAUUAGGAUUCAGAACUCCUGCUUCAUUAACUUUGCAUGUCUUUUGAGUAUGUGCUGAUACAAUUUUAUCUCCUUUGGAAACCCACUCCAUCAAACAACACUACAUUGGCUAUCACACCUCUAUAUUGGUCAAAGGUGGAGUCAAAUACCAAAACUCUCAGAGGAUUUUUGCGAUGCACCUUAGGAAGGGGUAUUCUUUCAAUAACUGCCUGAAGAACAUGUUCAACAUUUGUUCCAAGUUUAGCAGAAAUCUUAAUACAAUCAUCACUUGGAAUAUCAAAUACUUUUUCAAUUUGUUUUUCAACCCUUUCAGGAUGUGCAUUCUUCAGAUCUGUCUUGUUUAUAACUGGAAUUAUUGACAGCUGUGCUUCAAAAGCAAGAAAGAAGUUUGCUACAGUUUGGGCUUGAAUACCCUCAUUUGCAUCGACCACCAGUAAAACACCCUGGCAAGCAGAAAGUGACCUGGAUACUUCAUAACUGAAAUCAACAUGGCCUGGUGUAUCAAUAAGAUUUAAAACGUACUCCUUUCCUUCAAAAUUGUAAAAAAGAGAUGCUGUCUGUGCUUUAACAGUGAUUCCUGUUUCUCGUUCCACUUGCAGUUUAUCAAGAACUUGCUUAUUGUCUUAUCAACUGUUCCUGUUAGUUCUAACAGCCUGUCAGCUGAAGUACUUUUGCCAUGAUCCACAUGUGCAAUGAUACUGAAAUUUCUAGUAUCUUCAACAGGAAAUCUAGAUGUGUCUGGUUUUUCCCAAGAUCACAUUGGAGGAGCUGUGGAAGGAUUAAAUAAGCAGAAUGGAGCCCGCGUGCUCCAGGCUCUGCCACCCUAGAAAUAACUGGAAGCGGGGUCCACUCGCAAUCCCAGGAAGCCCCGAAAGAGUGCAUGGAGCACGCUGUGAAGUCCAGAAGGGGGCGUAAUCACGGGCUUAGAGGCGGUCACCUUGUGCCGUGCAGAGCUGCAGAGCCUGUCGCUAGCCCAGGACCCUGCAGCAGCCCCGUGUCUGGCAGCGGGCCAGAACCGGGGUGGCUGGGGUCGUGCGGCCCCUGUGGCACAUGGCAGGAGCACGCGUCUGUGCCAGCAGCCCCGGCCUGCGAGGGUCCACAUGGCCUGGGCACUGGAGCCCACAAGCUGGUUUGUUCCCAAGAGCCCAGCUAAGCGCCGCAAGGAAGAAUCUGGAUCGCUCUAGAGGCUAAAUCAGGUUGCCUUACAGUUUUCACCCCACGACUCCCGGCAGGAGGCCAGAAACCAGCACCUUCACUCUCAUUUUUUGUUCUGUAUACCCUAAAGUUGAAUUGCUAAAUCAUAUGGUAAUUCUGGUUUUAGUUUUUAGAGAAACUACCAUAUAGUUUAAUAUAGUAGCUGUAUCAUUUUCUAUUGCCACUAAUGGUGUUCAUGGUUGCAAUUUCUCCCCAUCCUUGCCAACACUUAUUUUUAAAAAAAUAGUAGCCAUUCUAAUGAGUGUGAGGUGGUAUCUCAUUGUGACUUUAAUUUGCUUUUCCCUAAUGAAGCAUCAAUAUUUUUUCCAGGAAAUUUAUAGUUUAACUCUUCCAUUUAAAUCUUUAAUCCAUUUUGAGUUAAUCUUUAUAUGUAAUGACUUUAUUUUUUUGCAUGUGAACAUACAAUUUUUCCAGAACUACUUGUUGAAAAGACUUUCUCUUCCCAUUUACUGGCCUUGGAAAUCUUGUCAAAAAUAAUUAGGUCACUUGUGAAGGGUUUAUUUCUGUACUGUUUAUUCUAUUCCACUGAUCUAUGUCUGUUUUUAAUGUCUUUAUGUGCCAUACUGUUUUGAUUACUAUAGCUUUGUAAUAAGUUUUGACAAAAUGUGAUUGGUCCAAAGCUGUUCUUUUUCUUAAUUGUUUUGUUAUUCUGGAUCCCCAGUUGAUCUGAGGAUGGAUUUUUCUGUUUCUGCCAAAAAGUACCACUGAGAUUUUGAUAGAAAUUUCAUAAAAUCUUUGGGUUAUUUGGUUAAUACUGAUAUCUGUUUUCAUUUCUUUCUCUCUUUUUUUUUCGUACCAGGGAUCGAGCUUGGGACCUGGUGCUUGUGAGGUGGUUGGCAGCACCACUGAGCUAAAUCCCCCACCCUGUUUUCAUUUCUUCUGACACAAGAUUAACCAACUUCAAAAUUGUUACACUUAGUUUCUAAAAGAGACAAGGAGAACUGCUGUGCUUAAAGAACUUUCAGAGAUUGUGCACAAUGUGCCCGCAGGGCUGUGUUCCUCUUUUCCCUCCUAGAACCGGUCCAUGUUUUAUUCCCAGCCAGCCUCCUCUUAGCAGAACAGGACAUGAACACUCAUGUAAAAGUCCUUACAAUAUUUGUGCUAGUCAAUCGGCAUAAAUUCAAACGUGCAAUGAUGGAAUCAUUGGUACUACUUUUAAUUCCAGGGAAAAAGGACUUUUUGGUUGAUCAGUGGCAAGUGCCAGCCCGCUAUAAAUGUAGACUCUCUCCCUCCCUUGCUUCCUACAGCAAUAGGCCCUUAACUGCUCCUUAGCAAUUUUGCAUUGCCCAUUUUGCUUCAUAUAUAUAUUUCUUUUUAGGACUGAGAAUUUGAACCUCUUUGACAAGUCUUUAAAAAUGCAUCAUUAUGGGAGAGACUAAUUAUUCUUAGGACUUUGAUAAUCUUUUAUUUUUGAAAGGCCAUUCAUUCAUAUAUAUAUGUAUUUCUUUUUAGGACUGAGAAUUUGAACCUCUUUGACAAGCCUUUAAAAAUGCAUCAUUAUGGGAGAGACUAAUUAUUCUUAGGACUUUGAUAAUCUUUUAUUUUUGAAAGGCCAUUCAUUCAUAUAUAUAUAUAUAUUUCUUUUUAGGACUGAGAAUUUGAACCUCUUUGACAAGCCUUUAAAAAUGCAUCAUUAUGGGAGAGACUAAUUAUUCUUAGGACUUUGAUAAUCUUUUAUUUUUGAAAGGCCAUCCAUUCACCUGUUUUGUUCAUUCAGAUGAAAAUUAAUAGAACACACAUCAUGAUUUUCAAAGCUAUUUUGAAAUGAUGGAAACCCUGCCCAAACCUUUGAAGAAAAGCACUUGCUUUAAUAGAUUUGAGAAGGUAUCCUAGCAACCACUCUAUAGUGAAAUUUAUCAAUUUCUCAGGGAGAAUUUGUAUUAAAUCCAAGAAAGAGACACUUCAAUUUUAAUUUCUUAGAGUCAUUUUUUCUACAUUGUUUCAGAGAUCGGACAUUCUUAGAUAUCUUCACUCUUGAGACUUCAUUUAAUAACCACUAAAAGCAUAUUUGAUGUUACCCUACAUGGGCUGUCUCCUUCAGUGGUACUGAAUUCCAGCUGGUACAGAAAGAUGAUAGAUAGAUAGGAGGUGUAUAUUUUAAAAUAGUAUAAGAAGCCAAAAAAAGUGCAAAAAUAUUAUAUAUGUAUUUGUGCUUUUUUGUUUUUAUUUCUAUACAUGCAAAAAUAUGGCCCAAAACCUUGUUGACCCUGAGGAAGCCUGAGGCCUAGAAAACAUUCAUUCACACUAAUCUGGCUUUUCUUUGGUUUUAUAAAAGGGAAGAGAUUUAUUUGGUUUUGCUUUCAGAUUUCAGUUAUUUCUAAAUUGAAAACUUUAAAAAAAUGUGAAUGCAAAUGAAAAUAGAAUUUGUUUCCAGAUGUAUAAACACAUCAAGCAUGAAAUGACAUGAACCAAAUAUGCAUUCUGCAAGUAGGAUUCAGAAGUGAGCUGGCUAUUAAAAUUAAAUAGUGUUAACAAUGCAAUUCUAGAUCACCAGGGAAUAGGGCCUGCAUAGAAAAUUCAUAUGCGUGAGAAAGACUUAGUCUCAGGGGUUUUGUUAUCUUGAAAAGCAAAGUGAAACUGCUAUGUGGAUUGGUCUAUGGGGAUUUAUAGUUUGUGUGUUGUUUGCAGUCAUUUAGUGUCUACCUAGAUAUAUAUGCGGAUGUGUACAUGAGGACAUGCAUGCACACAACAUAGUUAUUUUAAUUAUGAUGCUAUGAUAAUUUAGUUGUAGGGAGAGAAUUUCCAUAACUUAGCAGGAAUGCUAAUGUUUCUUUGAUGUAUGCCAGUGACAGAUGAAGACUUUAUUUAUAAUGUAUUAAGAUGAACCCUACAUUUAUAGCUACAGCUUUCUUCUGGAAUGAUGCCAAUUAACAAGAAUACAAGUAGAGCAUACUUUUCCUUCCAAAAUAGCAGGGAUUCAAUAAAGAUUUGUUGAUUUCAUUAUUCUAUAUUCUUCGAUUAGAUUUUUAUUUAAGUAUAAUAUGAAUUAUA
ensembl:lncRNA